CCCCUCUCAGGGUCGCAUUUGGAGAGUUUCCAGUCCUCUUCCAGUCUCAGCUACAGGAGGGAGAGUCAAACAGAGACCUACCCAUUCCAUUCCUAGCUUGGGCAGUGGCUUGGCAGUGGAAGGCAUUCUGCUACAAGU